rnacentral:misc_RNA from 1 species
UCCUGCCCAGUGACUCAAUUCAACGGCCGCGGUAUCCUAACCGUGCAAAGGUAGCAUAAUCACUUGCCCAUUAAUUGUGGGCUAGAAUGAAAGGACUAACGAAAUAAAGACUGUCUCUAUAAGCCGCCUAAAAAUUAAUCUCUAACUGAAGAGUGUUAGAUAUCGUCGAAGGACAAGAAGACCCUAUAGAGCUUUAUUUUAACAAAAACUAAAAAUUUUUCAAUAAAAUUCGGUUGGGGCGACCAGGGAAAAUAAAUCAUCCCCCAUAAGCAGAUAAAUAUAUCUAAGUUCUGACCCUUAAAAUAAGAUCAACAAAUCAAGCUACCUUAGGGAUAACAGGCUAAUCCCACUAAAGAGUCCUUAUUAAUAGUGGGGAUUGGCACCUCGAUGUUGGCUUAGGGAAUCUAUGUGGCGCAAAAGUCGCGUAAAGAUGGUUUGUUCAACCAAUAACACCCUACAUGAGCUGAGUUCAGACCGGCGUAAGCCAGGUUAGUUUCUAUCCUCGAUAAAUAAUCUAUUUAUAGUACGAAAGGACCUAAAUAGAAUAAUAAUUAUAACUAGAGAACAAAUAUAACACAUGUUUAAACUAUUGAUAUAUAUACUAUAGAGUGAGUUGGCAGAGUAGUGCCACCGACUUAGGAUCGGUUCAUGGGUGUCACCCACUCACUACUACAAUGCAACUUAGUUUAUUUAGAACAGUUAACCUGCACUUAGCAAGAGAGACACCUCAGUAGCGGCUUGAGGUUUUGGAAACACUGGACCUUGAACGUCCACUUAAGAUGUUCGACUCAUC